CCCACCUCCUUCAGUUUAUGUCUGAAGAAAUGCCGAUCACAUUCUACCUUUUAGCCUCUGCUUCUGUUGUAUUUACAAGAAGGCUUCUGCUUAUUUGAGCCUUCGUCCUUGGCCUGUUUUCUUCUUCGUGAAUCAGUGUGUAAUUUACUGAUUCCACGGUGGGUGAAGCUAAGCAGGAAGCGGAGGCCAAACAAGAAGAUAAGGCAGAAGAAAAGAAGAGGUAGCAAAGACAGUUACCUCCUCCACCCCAUCGUCCUGUCGGUGGACUUGCACUGUGUUGGAUGUGCGAAGAAGAUCGAGAAAUCCAUGCUCAAAUGCAGAGGUGUUGAAAGUGUUGAAGUGGACGUGACGCAGAACCAGGUCACAGUCAAAGGCAUAGUAGCCAUCGAACUAUGUGCUCCAUGAUCCAAAAGAGAACAAUGAGAAAAGCCGGCGUGCUCUGUCCGCUUCCCCCCGCCGAGGGGGACUACAAACCAGAAGCUGUUCCAUCCCAGGUACAACCCAUGGAUGCAUCGCAAGAUCCAACCACACCUUGGAUGAAUACUUAAUAGCGGAUUGUCUCAAUCCAACACAAAGAACAAUCCAACUUCUGUGGGAUUUAACUCUAAGCAAUUCUCUUGCAAGAUAAAAUCUAGUAGUUUCAUUCAGGGUGACAGUGAUACGUCCUAGCUGGCAUUAGAUUAGGUUUGAUAAGAUCUGGGAUCCGAAGUUUAGGUAUAUCACCUGCAUAAUCUAUUGCAAAUUAUUUGGAACGGGCGAGUGGGAUGACAACAGUUGAGCUCCUUGUGAAGAUGCACUGCGGAGCGUGUGCAGAGCAGCUGAAGACGAAACGGCUGAAGAUGCGAGCUAUCUGUCUUCUUCUGCCUUUCCCUUCUCUUACUUCUUAGCCUUCUCCAAACCCAAAUCACAACUGGAAUAGCAUGCUCAUGCAUGUCAGAAGAUCUAACACGAAGAUAUUGGAUGAGCUGCGACAAUCGGAACCAAUUUGUUUAGCCUAGCGGCAGGCACCGACUUGAGCUCCGGCAAGGUCACAGUGACCGGCACGAUGAAUGGAGAAAAGCUUGUGGAGUACAUUCGUCGACGAACUGGGAAGGCAGCCAGCAUCGUCCCCCAGCCACCCAAGGAGGAGCAGAAAAGAACCCCGAGGAGACGCCCGCUGAAGGGACGAAAGAGGAGAACAAGGAGGAAGUGAAAUCACCCCAACCACAGGAUUCUGCAGGCAGCAACAAGGACGGAGACGGUAAGGAAGAGAAGGGAGGCGGCGAGGAGCAGAAGAAAGAAGGCGGGGGAGAGGCCACUGCCGCCGGAGUCAGCGAAGCAGACGUGAUAAAGAAGAUGAUAUAUUGGAACGGCAGCUUCAUCGGCGAAGACGAGAUGGCGAGGAGGCUGCUGCAUUUGAUGCCAAUUGUUGGUGAACCUUUACGCCGUGACCGAGGUGUCAGCACGGCUCGGUUCGGUCCCAGAUGAGCAAGGUCGCCCACGCGGAUGCUAGUGGUAAGGACAAGCAAUUGGCAUUGAGCUCCUGCACACAGGUUGGGGUCAAGAGGGGGAUUUCCUGACUCGACCUCUCUGAAGUUUAAAUUAGCUUUUGGUGGAACGAGAGAGAGUUGAGUGUUCGAAGUGUCUUCCCUUCCUGAUUAGGUAGGGUUAGCUUUUAUAUCUAGGAUGAGUUGAUCGUACAGGAUCAAUUUACUACGGCGAGCUAACUUAAGUUUCUAAACAA